rnacentral:tRNA from 1 species
AAAGCUUUAAGUUAAAAAAACUAUUAACCUUCAAAGUUAAAUAUAUAAUAAUAUUUAUAAGCUUUA